CGCUGGCAAAGUUCGCGGCCAGAGAAGGGAACACGAAAAGAGGAAACGAGCGGCGAAAAUGGAGGACGACACCGGAGAUGGAAAAAAAGGACGGUCGGAUGAAAGUGGGUCGUGACGUCGUGACAGUGAGGGCGAAGAGCGAGGGUGAAGAGCGAGGGCGAAGAGAACGCAGAGAGAGGCAGAAGGGCGAGCGACUCUAAACGUAGUCGAAGAUUCUUUUUCUAGCGUAACUGCCGGCCAAAAUAGGCGGUCCUUGGAAUCUAAUUAUUAGUACGUUCGCUGGAAACUCUGGAUUAUUUAUGUCCGUUCUUUGUUCGGGCGCGGCGCGUUUCUCUUGGCUCGCGUACCUUCCAGCAACUCUGGAAAGAAGGGAAUUUCGAGUGAGGGAAGAAAAAAGGAGAAGAGGAAGGCGCCGACGUCGAAACGAUGGCGCGCGAUCAAUUGAGCCUUACAGCGUCUCCUGUCGGCGAUGAGUUAAAAACGCAAGCAUCCUGGCUUCGGAAUCGCCAUAAAUGCGACGGAAGAUUGAGAAAUCGUAACACGACGGCGCAGAUAAU
rnacentral:misc_RNA from 1 species